CCCCCCCGAAGUGACCUAACACCGUCAUUUCUUUCCGCAGUCAAAUCAGGACCGUUCCGAGCUCUGCUGGGCCUCACCUCAGCUUUCCUUCCGCAGCCGCGUUUCUAACCUGCGAGGGGGAAGCCUUGCAGCGGGGCUGAGCGCACAUCACGUUCGCCUGCAGGCCGGCUUCUGGGGAGCGUCCCUUCGGAGAGGGCCCGCUCGCUCGUUCGGCUUCGCGCCCCGCUCCAGAGGAACACCAGCUUCAGGAGUAACAUCGACAGGCUGGAGAGGUGCAGCACAGGCAAUCAGACUAGGAAACCUCCUGAACUUUACAGAACACAAUUGAAAUAAGAACAGGAAAACCAUACAAGAGCGUGCAUUUGCUUAAGUGCCAGAUUUCCUACAAUAAGGGGGGGGGAGGGUUUGUUUGUUUUGUUUUUUGGUAAAAUCAGCCAUAUUCACAUCAACCAAUAAAGUACCAAUAGAAACAAAACAAAAAAGGAUAGGUGGGGACUGCCACCUGCAUCUUUACAUUUGAGUACCUACAUAAAACAUCUGUGAUCUCAGGAUUUACAGAUUUCUUUUACCAGCUCGUACCAUCACCACAAAGUUAUUUCAGAAUUAUUUUUAACACUUUACAACAUGUUUCAGAAAUGGAAGCCUUAGAAAAACAAAGCUCUCCCUUUAUUUAUAUUGCACCUUUUUCACAGAUAGCUACACAGCAGAAAUUCUUUCUGCUGCAAAAUGCUACAUCAGAAAAAAUGUGGCUUAGAACACAUUAGAAAGAAAAGGUCUUGAGUUUCAGGUAUCAGCAUGAGCUGACCCAAAAUCACCAACACCAGCUUUACAAAUCACCGCACUCCUAAGUAUUGCCUCCAUUUUAUUUAGUAUUUAGGUAUUUCAGAAAAAUGAGCUUUUUACCAAAUGAAAAAGAUGCUCUAAUCACUAUUGGGUACUACAAUUGAGUCUGAAGGGGAACUAUUUUCAAGAGAUCUUCAAAGAGCACCAAAUACUCUUAAGAGCUAUGGACAAAAAACCCACACGUAGUGGGGAGAAACUGGUUUCUUUCACACUGGUAUCUCUAGAACCACCCAGGACUGUUUUGGGAAGAAUUGUCCAGUUUUGUGAUGUAUUUACACGUACAUUAUAAAUGCACAAUGGAAAUCAAAACAUUUCUAAGGAUACCAGUGAUAGUGUCCUAACACUAAUUAUGGCAUCCAAAUCACGCUAGUUCUAGUCUUAAGUAAACAUCGGGUAAUGUAUCACACCCAUACAGCAAAACAAUAAUCUGAUUUCUCCCAAGUGGCCAUUACCACUAAUGUAUGGCACUCCCGAAAUGUCCUGCAAGUAAAAAAAAAAAAAACAAAAAACCAAACCCCUUCACUUUGAUUUAAUAACAGGGUCAUUAUACACGAUUGUCUAGAUAUGCCCUUUUUAUUCCAGUGUUUCCAUACUUUCUACAGACCUAUGUACACAGUUAAAUACGUCAUUAAUUUACAAACCAUGUUAAAACAAAUGUUUCACUUUGCCAAACAAGAUCUUGCAGGUGUCCAAGAUCAAAAUAUAUAUUACAAGAAUAUCAGAAACUUCCUUUACCUGAAUGUGGGCAAUAUUGCUUAAGGACUUAGAUUCAGGUAUUCAGCAAAACCACCCAUUGUAACUGAUUCGCUUAACCGUUUUAAUUAUGUAUUCUAUUGUACAAAGUUAUCCCCAUUGACCACAGACCUGAACUAGAAGAGCACGAAUGUGGUCAGGCAGUCUCUGGGGAAGAAGCCCAGGCCUCACUCUCUGGGUCCUAAAUGGGAUAUCCUAUUUUGAGUCAGUCCCCUUCUGCUCUGCGCUAAGGACAACAGCUUUUGUUUUGGAGAUACGGUGAGGCUACGAGCCCAAACUGCACCGGAGCAAGGCAUUUUCAACAGAAAGCCCUCACCUGCUGCUGUACUCUUGACAGAAGAAGCGGAGUCAAAGACCUGCCACGGUUAAGCGUGCAGUGCCAGCUUUCUCAGAAAGGAGUCACAACAAGAUCAGGCUCCGUCCCUUGGAAAAUUAGCCAUCUAUAUAUAUUUAACCAAGCCUCUGCUCUGUGAAUAAGGUGCGUGGAGCUUUAUUCACCUUCUAAGGAAAAGCUCAAGUUGUACACAGCUGUUACAGUGGUAAACAUACCAGAAAAAGUUCAGAUUAAGUCAUAGUACUUCUGCAAAUCCCUAUGGCCCCCACUGCUACUGUUUACUGGUAUUUCACCCACUUUGAGGUAGGGAAGAAUCACCCUCCCACCCCCAUUUCCCAAACAGGAAACUGAGGCACAAACAACAAGAUCAAGCAUUUGCAGGAGUCUAACAGGUUACACCUAGCUCCCUUUGAAAGCAGUUGGACACCUUACUUCAGCCCCUCUUAAAAAAAAUCAGCCUAAAUGUCUCAGCCUAAAGUCAAAAGUCUUUUGCAGAGCCAGAAUCUAGUCCAAAUCCCGAGUCCACAAGAUCCUUUUUACAUUUAUGCAACAGCACUUAAGUAUUGGGAAGCAAGCCUUAGAAAUACAAAUUUUGCGCCUUCCCACA